rnacentral:rRNA from 1 species
UACGGAGGGUGCGAGCGUUAUCCGGAUUCACUGGGUUUAAAGGGUGCGUAGGUGGGCAGGUAAGUCAGUGGUGAAAUCUCCGGGCUUAACCCGGAAACUGCCAUUGAUACUAUCAGUCUUGAAUACCGUGGAGGUAAGCGGAAUAUGUCAUGUAGCGGUGAAAUGCUUAGAUAUGACAUAGAACACCAAUUGCGAAGGCAGCUUACUACCCGAACUAUUGACACUGAGGCACGAAAGCGUGGGGAUCAAACAGG